AUGGCUGUGGCUCAGUGGUAGAGCACUUGCCUUGCACGUGGGGGACCCUGGGUUCAAUCCUCAACACCAUA
rnacentral:tRNA from 1 species